CUGAGCUUAGACAACUGCUGUCGAACUUACGAAAUGAAUCUAUAGCUGCGUAUCUGAGAAACUUAGACCCUAAUUCCAGCAACAAUGAAUACAACCUAUGGAGGGCGACUAAAUACCUAAAGAAACCAGCUAAAAGAAACAUAAAUAUUCGCAAAAACAACGGAACUUGGUGUAGGUCUAAUAAUGAACAAGCGGAAGCAUUUGCACAACAUCUGCACUCUGUGUUUCAGCCAAACGAUAUAAAUAAUUAUACAACAGAGACUGAAGUAGAAAAAUUCCUUGAGUCACCCUGCCAAAUGAGCUUGCCUAUUAAAAUCAUUAAAUAUGAAGAAGUUGUGACAGAAAUCAAAUGCUUGAACAAUAAAAAAGCACCAGGCCCUGAUAAAAUAGACGGUAUCACCCUAAAAAGUUUACCACCAAAAUGCAUUCGGUUUCUCACUCUUAUAUAUAACGCGAUUCUCAGACUAGACCACUUUCCAAGUCAAUGGAAAUGUGCAGAGAUCGUUAUGAUCCUAAAACCAAAC
rnacentral:lncRNA from 1 species